rnacentral:rRNA from 1 species
AUUUAACUCUGGCGGUAGGCCUAACACAUGCAAGUCGAACGGCAGCACAGUAAGAGCUUGCUCUUACGGGUGGCGAGUGGCGGACGGGUGAGGAAUACAUCGGAAUCUACUUUUUCGUGGGGGAUAACGUAGGGAAACUUACGCUAAUACCGCAUACGACCUACGGGUGAAAGCAGGGGAUCUUCGGACCUUGCGCGAUUGAAUGAGCCGAUGUCGGAUUAGCUAGUUGGCGGGGUAAAGGCCCACCAAGGCGACGAUCCGUAGCUGGUCUGAGAGGAUGAUCAGCCACACUGGAACUGAGACACGGUCCAGACUCCUACGGGAGGCAGCAGUGGGGAAUAUUGGACAAUGGGCGCAAGCCUGAUCCAGCCAUACCGCGUGGGUGAAGAAGGCCUUCGGGUUGUAAAGCCCUUUUGUUGGGAAAGAAAAGCAGCAGGUUAAUACCCCGCUGUUCUGACGGUACCCAAAGAAUAAGCACCGGCUAACUUCGUG